AGUUUUCUAGUCGCAGUGCGGCAAAGCAGACGCAUAGACCCAGGCACAAAGCAGCAUAGAUUUUUUAUUCUCAUCUUUUUUUUUUUUGUCCGAGAGACGUUUUCCUGGUGUUAGCGCAGAAGCAGACAUGCAGCCUGGAUAUGCUGGCUCCAGCCUGGCAGCUCUUUCGGCUGAGCAGGGACUGUGUGGAGCUCGGUGCCCACGCUGCCGCUGAGGAAGAAAGCUGCUCUCCCACUCUGUGCCGUGACGAUACACCUGCAGCCACAAGACCGUGGAGAUGGCGGCACUUGUCUCUGUUUGCCUGACUGGGGCCUUUGCAGGUGCUCCUCUUCCGAAGCUGUGCUGGCGUUCCAGGGCCGUGCAGAUGGGUAAUACAAUUUGCUGCAGUUUCUUACAUCAGUGUAGCAAAGCUCAAGCGAACAACCAGACUCUGACCUAAAUCAGUCCCAGUUCUUCGGGAUACAGGGCAGCAGGCGACUGGCAGUGAUACAAUCAGCCAUCAAGUGGAGAGGCUCUGGGACUGCAAUCUGUAUGGGUUGGAGUCUGUGAGAAUGAAACAGUUCCCGUUAUCCGGUCGCUUCUCCUUCUAAUAAUACAAUUGCUACAACUGCUACUACUACCGCAUCUGUUUCUCCAUGCCUGAAAGAAGCUGCUCCUUGCGCCCUCUCUGUGUGGGUAUUUGCGCAGAUUAGUCUGUUGGUAAUGCAGCCCUUAUCUGCUUCUGCUGGAAACCAGGGCACGAAGUCAGCCUGCCUUAACAGUUGUUUCUUUCUGCGUGAUGCUAUGCAGCUAGAAUGGGUUACGCUGACAACAAAGGAGCCAGCACAAAGCAUCACUUUAUUUGCUGGACUGCUACAGGAACCCGACUCUUCUUCGCUACGAAGCCCUGUUCUCUUCCCUUUUUGUUUUUUGUUUUUUGUUUUUUUUAUGUAAUUCAUCUAAUUGAAGAGCCUAACAGACACCAUCGUGGAUGUGGGUUUUAAUGAUUUGGAAAAGACAGCCUGUGGAGACUGCGAUUGGAGACUGCAACACGCUUAGGUUAUUGCCAAUUUGAAAUACUUGGUUUGUGAAGCACAGCCCUAAGGGACAAGCGCAGUAACUGAGAGAGAGAUCGUAGAUAAAGAAAUAAAAAUGACAAGCAUAAUGGAGGCUCUGCAAGAAACUGUCAGGGAAUCAGUUCAUGGAUGGCAAUUUCACCAGUCUGAAUCUGAAUAAUUCAUAGAUUGAAAUUACCCUGCUUUCACCUUUCCAUUUAAACUGGCAUGAUCUGAAUCUCUAAUAAAUUUUCAAGAUAAAGUAAAAUGCCAAUUUGAAUCUGAAGAGCUUUUAAAACCAAAUGCUACACCCUGAGUCUUUCGAUACCUUUCACAAUUAUCCUGUGAGAGCCGCACUUCAUCACGAAGCACCAUUACCAGUGAAAAUUACGGUGAUUACAAUAGCAACAAUAGAAUACCGUCAAAUGAUCUCCAAUUUACCUAAUUUACCAAGGUUGACUGUGUGCCCAUUGUGCUUCACUACGUCUGGCAUUGGAUCAAUAUCACAGAGGAAGAAAAAUGCCUUAGUAUAUGCUUCCUUUUGGUGCCUUUAACUUUGACAGCACAGGAAAAUCUAUCUCCUGUUAAAUGUUUUUACAGCCCAUCUGCAUGCCUGCCAUAGGAUCUGAUUGAUUCUCCAUCAUUUUCUUUGGUUGCUGAGUAUUGGAUGUUAUUGUGUUACUAAUUUGUUUAUAACGUGUACUCCUGCACAAAGACUGCAGCAAACGAGUAACAGCACAGCGACUGCGCUGCUGCAGCAGUAGCACUGCACUCUCUCGCAGGGGAAGCCAAAAUGAGUUUGGUGCCUUAUGUGAAUAAUCACUUGCAUCUGGGUUAUAAAUGCUUCCAAACAUCACUCAUCUUGGUUGCACGACAUGAGAAAUGUGUGCAAAAGUCGUGGUCAAGGGAAAUGGUUAUCUGUAAUCCUAACAAGAUUUCUCCCCUAUCCAGCAAUCAGUAUGAGGCUGUGAGAGAUAAGCUGUGACUCUUUCUUUAAAUGUGUGUGUGUACAUACGCAUGCACGUACAUAGGAGACAAUCCCUGUGGAGCUGAUAGCUGUGGACUAAUGACUGGUAUACCAAGCAGAUAAGCUGUGGACAUUUUUCAGUGUUAACAUAAUGACUUUCAUCAAAGGAGGAAGAAGUCUACUUAUUUUUCAUUUUGUUAAGGAAAGCAAGUUUACUCAUUCUGAAUCAUGCCAAACCGCAUAAUCUGGAAAGGAAUAUUGUGGCUCUACUUGGAAAGUACUAAUUGGGUUUCAGCCAUCACUGGGAAAGUUGUAUAGCCUUUUAUUAUUUUAACUGGCCAAAUGCCCCUUGUUCCCACAUUAACAGCCUCCCUAUGACGCCUGUAACUUUGAUAUUAUUUUCACUUUUACGCUAAAUUUCACCAGAUGAAAGGCACAAAUGCUCCAAUUUCAAAAUAAAAUAAAAUAAAAUAAAU
rnacentral:lncRNA from 7 species